rnacentral:rRNA from 1 species
GACGAACGCUGGCGGCGUGCCUAAUACAUGCAAGUCGAGCGAAGUUUUUCUGGUGCUUGCACCGGAAAAACUUAGCGGCGAACGGGUGAGUAACACGUAAAGAACCUGCCCCAUAGACUGGGACAACUAUUGGAAACGAUAGCUAAUACCGGAUAAUAGCAUUAACUGCAUGGUUGAUGUUUAAAAGUUGGUUUUGCUAACACUAUGAGAUGGCUUUGCGGUGCAUUAGCUAGUUGGUGGGGUAAAGGCCUACCAAGGCGACGAUGCAUAGCCGACCUGAGAGGGUGAUCGGCCACACUGGGACUGAGACACGGCCCAGACUCCUACGGGAGGCAGCAGUAGGGAAUCUUCCGCAAUGGGCGAAAGCCUGACGGAGCAACGCCGCGUGAGUGAAGAAGGAUUUCGGUUCGUAAAGCUCUGUUGUUAGGGAAGAAUGAUUGUGUAGUAACUAUACACAGUAGAGACGGUACCUAACCAGAAAGCCACGGCUAACUACGUG